GACGAACGCUGGCGGCGUGCUUAACACAUGCAAGUCGAACGAAGAGAGAUGGAAGCUUGCUUCUAUCAAUCUUAGUGGCACACGGGUGUGUCACGCGUAAUCAACCUGCCCUUCAGUGGGGGACAACAGUUGGAAACGACUUCUUAUACCACAUACUAUCUAAUCUCGUCAUCCAGAAUAGAUAAAAGGUGGCCUCUACAUGUAAGCUAGCACUGGAGCUGGAUAAGCCGGCUGAUUAGCUAGUUGGAGGGGUAACGGCCGACCAAAGCGAUAAUCAGUAGGCGGUCUGGGGGGAUGGACGGCCAAAUUGGGACUGAGACCCGGCCCCGACUUCUACGGGAAGCAGCAGGGGGGAAUCUUUCGCAAUGGACGAAAGGCUGACGGAGCAACGCCGCGUGAGUGAUGACGGCCUUCGGGUUGUAAAGCUCUGUUUAUCGGGGCGAAAGGCCUUCUUGCGAAUAGUGAGAAGGAUUGACGGUACCGAAAUAGAAAGCCACGGCUAACUACGUG
rnacentral:rRNA from 1 species